rnacentral:rRNA from 1 species
AACGAACGCUGGCGGCAUGCCUAACACAUGCAAGUCGAACGAGACCUUCGGGUCUAGUGGCGCACGGGUGCGUAACGCGUGGGAAUCUGCCCUUGGGUUCGGAAUAACAGUCGGAAACGACUGCUAAUACCGGAUGAUGACGUAAGUCCAAAGAUUUAUCGCCCAAGGAUGAGCCCGCGUAGGAUUAGCUAGUUGGUGAGGUAAAGGCUCACCAAGGCGACGAUCCUUAGCUGGUCUGAGAGGAUGAUCAGCCACACUGGGACUGAGACACGGCCCAGACUCCUACGGGAGGCAGCAGUGGGGAAUAUUGGACCAUGGGCGAAAGCCUGAUCCAGCAAUGCCGCGUGAGUGAUGAAGGCCUUAGGGUUGUAAAGCUCUUUUACCCGGGAUGAUAAUGACAGUACCGGGAGAAUAAGCUCCGGCUAACUCCGUG